CCAAAAAUAGAAAAGAAGAUCAUGAAACCACAUGAUAUCUGCACAACUCUGCGACUCCCUAUAUGUGUUAGACCAAGUAGGCCCACAUUUUCACUGCAAUUGCCAAAGGGAUUUGUUAGACUAUUACUCAUACAAUUCUUGAUCUCAAAUUUCUACUAAUAUUCAUCUAUUGUACUUUGUUUUUCUUAUUUUUUAUAAUAUUAGAGGUAUUCUGCAAAUGAUUGGUGUUGACUGGGGUGUAACCUAGUUAGGGUUUGAUAGGAACCCGGAAAUAGUUAGGCCCAAACCCAAAAUAUCUAAGGUGUAUGUUAGACAAAGAUGGAAGGGCAAAGCAGGGGAUCAAAAUGGUCAGAGAGAGAAUGAGAAGAAUCUUUCUAUAUAACAAACUGCUGAGCUGGCACAGUAGGAAAGGAGUGAUUAUGUUGUUUGGGGUAUAAGGAGUGGAAAGAGAGUGGGGAGAAGGGGGGGCUGGAAUUGGCUGGGAAUCGGGAGAGACUAGACACUCUCUAACUGUCUAGAAUUACCCUUUUUUGUGCUGUUACAGAUCUGUAUUCUCUUUCUGGGAUAUGCACUCUGUUUUUCUUUGAUAAUAAAGUGACUAUUCAGCUAUUGUGUGCUUUCUUAUUUCUAGUAUCUAUCAGGGUUGCAGUCAACACACUGAUGCUUUUGCAUACAUAUUUGAUUGAAAAAAUAACCUUGAAGUAAUUUAACUACCAACAGGUUAAGCAGCUUAGUUUUCUAGUGAAAUCGUUGAUGAAGGAUUUAAAAUUGGUUCAACCGAUACCUCAAAUUCUAAAUAAUUAAAAUUUUAUAAAGCUGAGCUGCAAU
rnacentral:sRNA from 1 species